AUGAUUUUGCUCCUCUCUUCUCUUCUUCCUGUCACAGUCCCCUCAAUCUCGCCAUGGUAUUAUCACCCCUCACCACCGGCAGUCCAUCCUUUCUUUUUCCCUCUUUCGCUCGUCUACCUCUAUGGAGUUGAGUAGUUAAAUUCUUCCUCUGUUUUGUCUUUGCUGUGGGUUGAUGAUGGUAUACGAGGGUGUUUAAAUUUCAUCUUCCUCCUUCGUUCUUAGCAUCUCUGGUGAGGGAGAUUAGGAUUUUAUGUGGGCUGCCAUUCUUCUUCUUUUGCUUUUUCGGUGAAGGUUUGUUCGAGCUUUCAAUCUGCAGCCUCAGGCGUCGCCUCCUUCUUCGCUGUUACAGCUGUCAAUGCUACCAUAGAUCGCAUUUGUGCAAGAAAAUAGAAGAAAGGAAAGGAAGAAAAUGAAGAGAACAUUGGAGCUCUGCUAGGGUAUGCAUAUUGGCUUCCAUUAUUGACGUUUUGAAGCUCCCAAACACCUAAGGACCGGGCAGUGAUCAAAGCAAUAGAAGAAAGUUUAUAUCGGCUUGAGUUAUGAAGCCAUGUAUAUUCGAAGUUGUGAAAAUGAAUUGAACUAAGAAUUUUUGUAUAUAUGUGUAUAUGAGUUGCUAUAGGAUUACAUGCAUAUUUUAAGUAAUGUAUUUGUGAAAUUAUAGCCUGAAUGUGUAUAUUUGUGGUGUUUUAAAUUAGGGGCUAUGAUUUGGCCAUGAUUGUGUGAAAUUAUUGUGAUUGAAGGUGAAUCUUAAGCCUAAGUGAGAAAUUAUGAUAAAAUGAG